GGAAGGAUCAUUACUGAAGAUAAUGGGAUCUAGAGACUGCGCCCUUUAAAACGGCGUGUGCUCGAUCCUUAUUUCUUUCAUCCACACACCUCUGUGCACUAUGGGGACGUCAUGUCCCCCUUUUUCAUACCAAACACCUAGUUUAAAUGCAUGUCUUUAUUAUACUCUAAGGAGUUAAUGUACAACUUUCAACAACGGAUCUCUUGGCUUUCGCAUCGAUGAAGAACGCAGCGAACGUGCGAAACGUAAUGUGAAUUGCAGAAUUCAGUGAAUCAUCGAAUCUUUGAACGCAUCUUGCGCUCCUUGGUAUUCCGAGGAGCAUGCCUGUUUGAGUGUCGUGAAGUACUCUCAAUUUCAAUCUUGUUGUUGCGGGGUUGAAAUUGGAUUUGGGUGGUUGUUGUGUUUCACAACUCAUCCUAAAUGCAUUAGCGAUCUGCCUUUGAUCACACACAAUGUGAUAAGAAAAAGCAUUGUUAGCAUCGAGUCAGGGUUGCUUCGAACCGUCCGCAAGGACACUACUCCAUGUCAUUUGACCUCAAAUCAGGCAGGACUACCCGCUGAACUUAAGCAUAUCAAUAAGCGGAGGAAAAGAAACUAACAAGGAUUCCCCUAGUAACGGCGAGUGAAGAGGGAAGAGCUCAAAUUUGAAAUCUGGCGGCCUCAGGUCGUCCGAGUUGUAAUCUAGAGAAGUGUUUUCCGUGCUGGACCGUGUACAAGUCCUUUGGAACAAGGCGUCAUAGAGGGUGAGAAUCCCGUCUACGACACGGACUGCCAGUGCUCUGUGAUACACUCUCAACGAGUCGAGUUGUUUGGGAAUGCAGCUCAAAAUGGGUGGUAAAUUCCAUCUAAAGCUAAAUAUGGGCGAAAGACCGAUAGCGAACAAGUACCGUGAGGGAAAGAUGAAAAGCACUUUGGAAAGAGAGUUAAACAGUACGUGAAAUUGUUGAAAGGGAAACGCUUGAAGUCAGUCGCGUCUUCAGAAACUCAGCCUGGCUUCUGCCUGGUGUACUUUUCUGUUUGACGGGCCAGCAUCAGUUUCGGCCGCCAGAAAAAGGUGGGAGGAAGGUGGCACCUCCGGGUGUGUUAUAGCCUCCCAUCGUAUGUGGCGGCGGGGACUGAGGACCGCAGCACGCCUUUAUGGCCGGGGUUCGCCCACGUACCGUGCUUAGGAUGCUGGCGUAAUGGCUUUAAACGACCCGUCUUGAAACACGGACCAAGGAGUCUAACAUGCCUGCGAGUAUUUGGGUGGCAAACCCAUAUGCGGAAUGAAAGUGAACGGUUGGGACUUCUGUCAUGGAAGGCACCGACGCCCGGACCAGACCUAUUGUGACGGAUCCGAGGUAGAGCAUGUAUGUUGGGACCCGAAAGAUGGUGAACUAUGCCUGAGUAGGGUGAAGCCAGAGGAAACUCUGGUGGAGGCUCGUAGCGAUUCUGACGUGCAAAUCGAUCGUCGAACUUGGGUAUAGGGGCGAAAGACUAAUCGAACCAUCUAGUAGCUGGUUCCUGC
rnacentral:misc_RNA from 1 species